UUCCUUCUCUGUGCUUCUUAAUCCAAUUAGAGUUUCUUUGGAUAAACUGCCUGGCCUUCUGGGAGCUGAAAAUAGGAAGAAUGAACUCUUGCACAUGUUAAUGUGUUAAAACUGGCUUAUGCACAGAUUAAUUUUUAAAACUUCUCCUUAUAUUAACUUAUUUUUUUUAUUAUUAUUUUUUCUCUUUGAAGUGUCUAUGGAGUAAUUUAUCAACUGUGACCCUUAAUAAUAUAAAAGAUGUUUUACUGAAUUGUGGGCCUUGCAACUUGCUAGCUAUAACUUACAAGGCUGUUUCUGUCCAAUUUGUGUAACGUGGUUAUGGACUCCACUGACAAUCGACUACCACUUCUCAUUUUUGGAAUUGAAUUUUUUGUAGGUUUAUUUUAAGUAUUUGUGGCUUAUUUUUCGGAAGUUAAGUAUGACAGUUGUUAUAUUUCCCCCCUAUGUAUAGUGCAGCUAUUUGGCAGCAGUUAUCCUUUUUUGCUGUUGCAGUUUGUGACGUGAUGUAAGGCAUAUAUGUUGCCAAACCAGUAUUGUUUGAUAUUGCAGUUGAUUUCUCUUCUUUUUAUGUUUUAAUCUUGCUGACCUUUGGUAUCAGACGCUCCAUUAGGGUGGCUGUUUGGAAUUAGAAACAACAGCAGUUUCUGCGAGUGUAGUGUUUGAAGCAUGACAACAGAUAGCUGUUUUGUGCAACCAGCAAUUCCAAAGUUUGAUGGUCAUUAUAAUAACUAGGCAAUGCUUAUGGAAAACAUUUUGCAUUCAAAUGAGUAUUGGAGUUUGGUGGAACAUGGCAUUCCUGCAACAAAGGAUGUUCCUCUCACAAAAGUACAGAAUAAAAACAUUGAUGAGGUAAGUUUGAAAGAUUCAAAAGGAAAGAACUACCUAUUUCAAGCCCUAGAAUGUUAUCAUCAAGAAACAAUCCUAAAGAAGGAUACAAUAAAAGACAUUUGGAGUCCAUGAGACAAGGUUCCACUAGAGUUAAGCGUGUAUAUCUGCAAACCCCUUCACAACGAAUUUGAGGUUAUGCAAAUGAGUCAAUGAAUGACUAUUUUUCUCAGACUCUUACCGUAGCCAACAAAAUGAAAGCAAACGAAUAAAAAAGAAGGAUGUUGAAGUUGUUGAAAAGAUCUUGAGAUCAAUGACACCCAAAUAUGGUUAUGUUUUGUGUUAUAUUGAAGAGUAAAAAGAUACAUUUACCUUGGCCAUAGAUGAGUUGCAAAGUAGUCUUCUUGUUCAUGAACAACAAAUAUGUUCUCAUGUUGAUGAGGAACAAAUAUUGAAAGUUACUUAUGGCGAUCAAUCUAGAGGAAGGGGAGCUCAUAGCACUUUUAAAGGAAGAGGUCGAGGAAGAGGCAACGGAAGAGGAAGACGAAAGCUUGAUAGAACCACAAUAGAGUGUUACAAAUGCCAUCGGUUGGGUCAUUAUCAAUGGGAUUUUCCAAGCAAGGAAAAUGAUCAAGUAGUAAAUUGUGUAGAAGCUGAAGAAGAGAUGUUGCUGAUGGCCGACUUGGAGUUGUAGAAAACCAAUGAAGAGAACACAUGGUUCCUUGACUCAAGUUGUAGUGAUCACAUGUGUAGAAAAAAGAGUACUUUUUAGAUUCUAAUGGGAACUUUAGAGAUUUUGUAAAACUAGGCGACAAUUCUAGUUUGAAGGUAAAAGGAAAAGGAAAUGUGAAGUUACUAGUCAAUGGCAUUGUAUAAAUCAUCACAAGAGUGGUUUUUGUGCCAAAGGUGAAGAAUAGUUUGUUGAGUGUUGGCCAAUUAGAAGAAAGGGACUCAAUUGUGUUUCAACAUGAAAAAUGCAAGUUGUACCAUCCAAAUCGAGGUUUGAUUAUGGAAACAAAAUGUUCAUACUACAUGCAAUAUUUUAGCCACCUAAAUUUGCUUAUUUUACCACAACUAUAGAUGUUGUGCAGCUUUGGCAUUGUAGGGAUGGACAUUUAAGCUACUAAGGUCUCCAGACUCUAUAUCAAAAACAAAUGGUGAAUGGUUUACCAUAGUUAAAGUAACCUUUAAAGUUGUGUAGAGAUUGUUUAGUGGGGAAACAACAUAUAGACUCAAUUCCAAACAAGAGCAAUUGGAGAGCAACUCAAAUCUUCAAUUAGUACAUGUAGAUAUUUGUGGACCCAUUGCACUUAUGUCUAACAGCAAAAAUAGGUACUUGCUUACUUUCAUAGACGAUUUUAGUAGAAAAACAUGGGAUUCAUUUUUGAUAGAAAAGUCAAAAGCAUUAAAUUUAAGAUUCGUGUUGAAAGGAAACCAAUUUGUUUAUUAGAGUCUUACACCUUGAUCAAGGUGGAUAAGUUCUAUCACGUGCAUUUACUAAUUUUUGUGAUUUGAAGGGUAUAAAAAGACAACUAACAGCUGCAUACACACCACAUCAAAACGGGGUUGGUGAAUGCAAGAAUAGAGCCAUCAUGAAUAUGGUUCAUAGCAUGGUGUUGAAUAAGAAAAUGUCUUAAGAAUUUCUGGCCAAAAGCUGUUAAGUGGACAAUACAUGUCUUGAAUAGAAGCCCAACAUUGAUCAUGAGACAUGAAACUCCAAAAGAAGCUUAGAGUGGAGUCAAGCCUUCUGUUGAAUAUUUUUGGUCUUGGAUGUAUCUCUCAUGUUCAUGUGCCUGGCAGUAGAGAACAAAGCUAGAUGAUAAGAGCUUGACUUGUGUUAUGUUAGGAGUCAGGGGAGAGUCUAAGGCUCAUAGGCUUUAUGGUCCAAUCUCAAAAAGAAUAUAACAAGGAUGUUAUAUUUAAGGAAGACAAGCUUUGGAAUUGGGAUAAGCAAAUUGAUGUAGUAGUUCUGCAUGAUUUAGAAUGGGGUGAAGAUGAUAAAGUGGAAUCUAAAACCGAGGGAGGAAGUGACCAAGGAGGAUCUAAUACUGAAUACACUUCCUCAGCAAAAGUAGAGGAAGGUCAAGAAGGCUCUUUGAUCUCAAUUGAAAGGAGGCAUAGAAGCAUUGGAUGCAAGAUUAUGAAACUGGAGAAGGCUUGUCAGAUGAAGGGAAUGCAGCAUAUUUUCUAUUGUUUGCUGCUGCUGCUGCUGAUCCAAUUUAUUUUAGAGAUGUUGUCAAGUAUGACUAGUGGAGAAGGGUCAUGGAUGCUGAAAUAAAGGCAACAUAAAAGAAUGGCACAUGGGAAUUGACAGAUUUGCCUAAAGGGGGAAAGAAAGUGGGAGUUAAAUGGGAUUAUAAGACUAAAUUUGAUGAACAUGGAGAAGUAAGUAUAAGGCUGCCUUGUAGUGAAAGGUUAUCCUCAAAAGUAUGGAGUAGAGUAUACAAAUGUGUUUGUGCUUGUAGCACAUCUAGACACUAUUCAUCUUGUGAUAGCAUUAGCAGCAUAGCGAGGAUGAACCAUACAUAAGGUGGAUGUAAAAUCUGUGUUUUUACAUGGUAACUUAAAUGAAGCUGUCUUUGUGGAACAGCCAUGUGGAUAUGUGAAAAAGAGAAAAAAGGUUUAUAAGUUGAAGAAGGAACUUUAUGGCCUUAAACAAACACCCCGUGCCUAGUACAUUGUAUAGAAGGUUAUUUUCUAAAGGAAGGAUUUGAGAAGUGUGAAUAUGAGCAUACUUUAUUCGUCACAACAACAAGUGGGGAAAUGUUAAUUGUUUGUUUGUAUGUUAAUGUUCUGAUUUUCACAAGGAAUGAUGAGUUGAUGUUUGUAGAGUUCAAAAAUUCCAUAAAACAUGAGUUUGGCAUGACAAAUAUGGGUAAAAUGAGGCAAUUUUUGGGUCUUGAAGUCAUACAAAAGUUUGAUAGAAUUUUUCUUAGUCAAAAAGCUAUGCUGUGGAAGUGCUGCACAGAUUUGGUGUGGCAAAAACAAUUUUUUGUGAGAAAUUCAAUGGUUCCAGGCACAAAACUUCUAUAGGAUGAAAAAAUGGUGUCAAGGUGGAAAAGACUUACUUGAAACAAAUUGUCGUAGUCUAGGAUAUCUCACAGCUACUUGACCUGAUAGAAUGUUUACUGUGAGGCUUAUCAGUAGGUAUAUGGAGAAUCCUACUAAGCUUCACUUACAAGCAACAAAAGGGUGAUUUGGUAUUUGAAAGGAACAACAUAUUUUAGAAUUUUCUGCAGGAAGGGAGGAAAUUCUGAAAUUGUUGCUUUAUACUGACAAUGAUUAUGUUGGGGAUUUGGAAGAUACAAAGAGUACUUCAGGCUAUGUGUUUCUAAUGGUUUCAGGAGAGUAUGUUGGUCUUCCAAGAAGCAACCAGUAGUUAGGAUCUCAACUGCAGAAGCUGAAUUCAUUGCUGCAGCCUCUUGUUCUUGUCAAGCAGUUUGGUUGAAGCGAGUGCUAGGAAUACUAGACCAAACGAGAAAGACAACUGUCAUUCAUUGUGAUGGUAGUUCUGCAAUUAAGCUUUUAUUAGUGUUUUUGUAUUUUAUUUAUUUAUCAGAGUUUCGUACAGUAGUUUGUUUGUCUUGUAAUUCUGGUUUAUUUUAUUUUCGUUUUAGUAUAUUUUAAUUACAAGAAGUUAUUGUAAUCUGUUAUUGUCUUUAACUUCCUCAAACUGCUGUUACAGGAAGUUAUUAUGUGUAUUUGCACUGCACAUGCAAAAACGCUGAUGCUGUAUAUUUUCAAUUGAGUUUAAUCAAACACAGAUGUGCAAUUUCAUUUUCUUCGUGAGCUUAUAAAAGCUGGUGAGGUGAAGAUGGUUUAUUGUGACACAAAGGAAUGACUAGCAGAUAUAAUGACUAAACCAUUCAAACAUGAUACCUUCUUGAAGCUUAGGGGAUUUUUAGGAGUAUGUUCCGAAACUGAACUGAUGUAAACCGAAUAGUUGAUAACAUUCAGUUUAAGGGAAUUGUUAGGUUUAUUUUAAGGGCGUAUUUUUAGUAUUUGUGUCUUAUUUUUAGGAAGUUAAGUAUGGCAGUUGUUUUAUUUUCCUACUAUGUAUAGUGCAGUUAUGCAGCAGCAGUUAUCCUUUUUGCUGUUACAGUUUGUGAUGUGAUGUAAGACAUAUAUGUUGCCAAACCAGUAUUGUUCAAUAUUACAGUUGAUUUCUCUUC